GUUUGUGGUGUACCAUCUUGUUCUGAUCUAGAAACUGAUGAGCGAGAGAAUGUGUCAGUCAUUGCAAAUUGGUAGCUUUUGAAGUUUUAUAUUAAUUUUCAUGAACACAUCCAUACACACAUGGUUUUUUGAUUUAUUUUAUAAUUAUAAUUAUUUGUUUGCAACUUUAUUUUUAAGUUCAAGUCGAUAUGCAAGUGUAUGUGUCAGCAUUUCUACUUCCUUAUAAGUUUAUUGCUACCUCGGGUGUGAUUGGAACAGUUGAUUAUCUAACAUGGCAUGACCUUCAAUCGGCUUUUCCUGUGAACAUAUGUGGACUGUUCUAUUUACAUUGCAUGUACGGAGGAGUAGCCUUAGGAAGAUGAAGUGUGGCCCUGUAUUGAAUGCAAUUGGCAAAUCUUUAUUAUUUAUUUGUGCC